rnacentral:rRNA from 1 species
GACGAACGCUUGCGGCGUGCUUAACACAUGCAAGUCGAACGGAAAGGCCCUGCUUUUGUGGGGUGCUCGAGUGGCGAACGGGUGAGUAACACGUGAGUAACCUGCCCUUGACUUUGGGAUAACUUCAGGAAACUGGGGCUAAUACCGGAUAGGAGCUCCUGCUGCAUGGUGGGGGUUGGAAAGUUUCGGCGGUUGGGGAUGGACUCGCGGCUUAUCAGCUUGUUGGUGGGGUAGUGGCUUACCAAGGCUUUGACGGGUAGCCGGCCUGAGAGGGUGACCGGCCACAUUGGGACUGAGGUACGGCCCAGACUCCUACGGGAGGCAGCAGUGGGGAAUAUUGCACAAUGGGCGGAAGCCUGAUGCAGCAACGCCGCGUGCGGGAUGACGGCCUUCGGGUUGUAAACCGCUUUCGCCUGUGACGAAGCGUGAGUGACGGUAAUGGGUAAAGAAGCACCGGCUAACUACGUGCCAGCAGCCGCGGUGAUACGUAGGGUGCGAGCGUUGUCCGGAUUUAUUGGGCGUAAAGGGCUCGUAGGUGGUUGAUCGCGUCGGAAGUGUAAUCUUGGGGCUUAACCCUGAGCGUGCUUUCGAUACGGGUUGACUUGAGGAAGGUAGGGGAGAAUGGAAUUCCUGGUGGAGCGGUGGAAUGCGCAGAUAUCAGGAGGAACACCAGUGGCGAAGGCGGUUCUCUGGGCCUUUCCUGACGCUGAGGAGCGAAAGCGUGGGGAGCGAACAGGCUUAGAUACCCUGGUAGUCCACGCUGUAAACGGUGGGUACUAGGUGUGGGGUCCAUUCCACGGGUUCCGUGCCGUAGCUAACGCUUUAAGUACCCCGCCUGGGGAGUACGGCCGCAAGGCUAAAACUCAAAGGAAUUGACGGGGCCCCGCACAAGCGGCGGAGCAUGCGGAUUAAUUCGAUGCAACGCGUAGAACCUUACCUGGGUUUGACAUGGAUCGGGAGUGCUCAGAGAUGGGUGUGCCUCUUUUGGGGUCGGUUCACAGGUGGUGCAUGGCUGUCGUCAGCUCGUGUCGUGAGAUGUUGGGUUAAGUCCCACAACGAGCGCAACCCUUGUUCACUGUUGCCAGCACGUUAUGGUGGGGACUCAGUGGAGACCGCCGGGGUCAACUCGGAGGAAGGUGGGGAUGACGUCAAGUCAUCAUGCCCCUUAUGUCCAGGGCUUCACGCAUGCUACAAUGGCUGGUACAGAGAGUGGCGAGCCUGUGAGGGUGAGCGAAUCUCGGAAAGCCGGUCUCAGUUCGGAUUGGGGUCUGCAACUCGACCUCAUGAAGUCGGAGUCGCUAGUAAUCGCAGAUCAGCAACGCUGCGGUGAAUACGUUCCCGGGGCU